UUGAAAAAAUAACAAAAUCGGUUUUCCUAUUUUUUGAGUGUCAAAAGAACAUCUAUACGAUGGCUGCAAAAACUCCCCGGAAAGGUAAAACACCAUCAAAGGACGACGAUAUUCAGAAACAGUAUAAUACCCUCACCAAAACUAAGGCAUUGUUGAAACGUGAUAUUGACCUCGUUACUUUGGAGAAGGAUGCGUUUAAGAGGAAGUUGAUAAAUAUCGAAAACUAUUGCAGAGAUCAUUAUAAGGAAAAUGAUAAGAUUCCUGAAAUCCUCAACAAAGUGUACGAGGGGCUAGAAAAAGCAGGUAAUGCUGGCUUCAAAGCUCCUGGUCAAGAAUCUAAACAGUAGUUAAAAAGCUAUGGUUUCUGUGGGUACAGCAGAUUAAAUAAGUACCAAAAAAAAAAAUCUUUCUUUUUCAAAAUAUAAUAAACGUCGUAAAAUGAUAACCCAAGAACUGAUUUUGAGCUUUAAAUAGAGAUCCUGCCAAGAAACUACUGAUGACAUUCGACAAAAUUUUGUUUUUUGGGUGGUUUUCAGUCUGGUUACUAUUUUAUGCGCUAUAUCAAUCAAUUUAGGGAAUUGAAGUAUUUAUCUUUAUUUUUAAACCUUUACGCGAUAUGUGAAAACUUUGAAAUACAUUGCACCAAUAUUUGCUAUUUCUGAAA